AUGGGGAGAUCCGCGUCUGUAUUUCAAGCCCUUUUGGUUUUCCUAAUAACAAUAAUUGAGACCCAAUGGUCCAGCGUAUCCGGCAUGUACUGCGCGGACAUGGCAUCGACCGUCUACCGACCACAUAGUGUCACUAUAACUGAGUUUGGUGCUGUCGGGGAUGGCGUGACUCUCAACACCAAAGCAUUCCAGAAUGCCAUCUUCUACCUCAAUUCAUUUGCGGACAAGGGUGGCGCGCAGCUCUUUGUGCCUGCUGGAAGGUGGCUGACAGGCGGUUUUAGUCUGAUCAGCCAUCUCACUUUGUCGCUGGACAAAGAUGCAGUAAUAAUCGGAUCUCCGCACUCAUCUGAUUGGCCUGUUAUAGACCCUCUUCCAUCCUAUGGGCGCGGGAGAGAGCUCCCCGGAGGAAGGCACCAGAGCUUAAUUUUUGGCUCCCAUUUGACAGAUGUAAUAAUUACUGGUGCUAAUGGGACAAUUGAUGGUCAAGGAGCCAUUUGGUGGGAUUGGUUCCAUAACAACACACUGAACUAUACUAGGCCACAUCUUGUCGAGUUGAUGUACUCCACCAAUGUUGUUAUAUCAAAUUUGACUUUCAAGAACUCCCCGUUCUGGAAUAUCCAUCCUGUAUACUGCAGCCAAGUUAUUGUCGAGCACGUUACAAUCCUAGCACCUUUGAAUUCGCCAAACACCGACGGCAUUAAUCCAGAUUCGUCCACAAAUGUUUGCAUCAGUCAUUGUUAUGUCAGAAAUGGAGACGAUGUUAUUGUCAUCAAAAGUGGUUGGGAUGAGUACGGCAUUUCUUUUGCUCAGCCUAGCUCCAAUAUCAGCAUCAGCAACAUCACAGGAGAGACUGGGGGUGGUGCAGGAAUUGCCAUCGGAAGUGAGAUGUCAGGUGGCAUAUCUGAAGUCCGGGCUGAAGGCCUCCGCAUUGUGAACUCAUUGCAUGGAAUCAGAAUCAAGACCGCUCCAGGACGUGGAGGGUAUGUAAGGAACGUCUACAUAGCUAAUGUCAGCAUGCACAAUGUUUCGAUGGCCAUAAGGAUCAAUGGAAACUACGGCGAACAUCCUGAUAACAAUUAUGACAGGAAUGCUCUCCCCAUUAUAAGCAACAUCACAAUUCAGAACGUUGUUGGCGUUGAUGUUGGUGUUGCUGGCAUCUUGGAGGGCAUUGAGGGCGACAACUUCAGCAGCAUAUGCAUCUCCAAUGUCUCCCUCAGCGUACAAUCCAGGCAUCCGUGGAAUUGUUCGCUUAUUCAAGGAUAUUCAAACUCUGUGACUCCAGAGUCGUGCGAGCAACUCAGAACUGAUUGUGAGAGACAUCGAUCUGCUAUGACGGUGGCAGUUCUUUAG
rnacentral:rRNA from 1 species